rnacentral:rRNA from 1 species
AGAUUGAACGCUGGCGGCAUGCCUAACACAUGCAAGUCGAACGCGCUCCAUUCGGUAGCAAUACUGAUGAAGAGUGAGUGGCGAACGGGUGAGUAACACAUGAGCAACCUGCCCCGAAGACUGGGACAACACCGGGAAACCGGUGCUAAUACCGGAUAUCCCUAUCGGACCGCAUGAUCUGAUAAGGAAAUGGAUUCCGCUUCGGGAGGGGCUCGUGGCCUAUCAGCUAGUUGGUGAGGUAACGGCUCACCAAGGCAUCGACGGGUAGCUGGUCUGAGAGGACGAUCAGCCACACUGGGACUGAGACACGGCCCAGACUCCUACGGGAGGCAGCAGUGGGGAAUCUUGCGCAAUGGGCGAAAGCCUGACGCAGCAACGCCGCGUGGAGGACGAAGGCUUUCUGAGUUGUAAACUCCUUUCAGCAGGGACGAUAGUGACGGUACCUGCAGAGAAGCACCGGCAACUACGCG